GACGAACGCUGGCGGCGUGCCUAACACAUGCAAGUCGAACGGAGUGUUUAUUUAUAAACACUUAGUGGCGAACGGGUGAGUAACGCGUAGACAACCUACCCUCUAGAUGGGGACAACACCGCGAAAGUGGUGCUAAUACCGAAUGUUGUAAUGUUGUUGCAUAAUGAUAUUACUAAAGGUGGCCUCUAUAUAAAAGCUACCGCUAGAAGAUGGGUAUGCGUCUGAUUAGCUAGUUGGUGAGAUAACAGCUCACCAAGGCAAUGAUCAGUAGCCGGUCUGAGAGGAUUAACGGCCACACUGGGACUGAGACACGGCCCAGACUCCUACGGGAGGUAGCAGUGGGGAAUCUUCCGCAAUGGACGAAAGUCUGACGGAGCAACGCCGCGUGAGUGAAGAAGGUUUUCGGAUCGUAAAGCUCUGUCUUCAAGGACGAAUGUAGAUAUUGUGAAUAAUGAUAUUUAAUGACGGUACUUGAGGAGGAAGCCACGGCUAACUACGUGCCAGCCGCCGCAGUAA
rnacentral:rRNA from 1 species